UACGUAGGUGGCAAGCGUUGUCCGGAAUUAUUGGGCGUAAAGGGCUCGUAGGCGGUUUGUCGCGUCGGGAGUGAAAACACACAGCUUAACUGUGUGCUUGCUUCCGAUACGGGCAGACUAGAGGUAUGCAGGGGAGAACGGAAUUCCUGGUGUAGCGGUGAAAUGCGCAGAUAUCAGGAGGAACACCGGUGGCGAAGGCGGUUCUCUGGGCAUUACCUGACGCUGAGGAGCGAAAGUGUGGGGAGCGAACAGG
rnacentral:rRNA from 1 species